rnacentral:rRNA from 1 species
UCUACUUGGAUAACUGUGGCAAUUCUAGAGCUAAUACAUGCACGAAAGCUCGGACCCUCGCGGAAAGAGCGCAUUUAUUAGACCAAAACCAAUCGGGCGCUUCGGCGCUUGGUUUUUGGUGACUCUGAAUAACUUAGUUGAUCGCACAGUCUUAGUACUGGCGACGUAUCUUUCAAAUGUCUGCCUUAUCAACUUUCGAUGGUAGGUUAUACGCCUACCAUGGUUAUAACGGGUAACGGAGAAUUAGGGUUCGACUCCGGAGAGGGAGCCUGAGAAACGGCUACCACAUCCAAGGAAGGCAGCAGGCGCGCAAAUUACCCAAUCUCAGAACGAGGAGGUAGUGACGAAAAAUAACAAAACAGUCCACUCUGUGGCCUGUUAUCGGAAUGGGUACAAUUUAAAUCUUUUAACGAGGAUCUAUUAGAGGGCAAGUCUGGUGCCAGCAGCCGCGGUAAUUCCAGCUCUAAUAGCGUAUAUUAAAGUUGUUGUGGUUAAAACGCCCGUAGUUGGUUUUUCGGUCUCGAAGCUCGGUAGCUCGAAUGGGCUUAACUGAGUCUUCCGGCCUAAAUUUCUUGUACUCUCCCGAUGCUCUUUAUUGAGUGUCUCGAGAUGCUAGAACGUUUACUUUGAAAAAAUUAGAGUGCUAAAAGCAGGCUAUACGCUUGAAUAAAGUGCAUGGAAUAAUGGAAUAGGACUUUAGUUUUAUUUUGUUGGUUUUCGAAAUUAAAGUAAUGAUUAAGAGGAACAGACGGGGGCAUUCGUA